rnacentral:rRNA from 1 species
CUUGGUCAUUUAGAGGAAGUAAAAGUCGUAACAAGGUUUCCGUUGGUGAACCAGCGGAAGGAUCAUUACAGAGUUCAUGCCCUUACGGGUAGAUCUCCCACCCUUGAAUAACAUACAUUGUUGCUUUGGCGGACGCUUCGGCAGCCGCCAGAGGACCCUAAACUCUUGUUUACAGUGUCGUCUGAGUACUAUAUAAUAGUUAAAACUUUCAACAACGGAUCUCUUGGUUCUGGCAUCNAUGAAGAACGCAGCGAAAUGCGAUAAGUAAUGUGAAUUGCAGAAUUCAGUGAAUCAUCGAAUCUUUGAACGCACAUUGCGCCCCUUGGUAUUCCGGGGGGCAUGCCUGUUCGAGCGUCAUUAUAACCCCUCAAGCUCAGCUUGGUGUUGGGGCCUGCCAACUGGCAGCCCUUAAAAUCAGUGGCGGCGCCAUCUGGCUCUAAGCGUAGUAAUUUCUCUCGCUAUAGGGUCCUGAUGGAUGCUUGCCAACAACCCCCAAUUUUCUAUGGUUGACCUCGGAUCAGGUAGGGAUACCCGCUGAACUUAAGCAUAUCAAUAAGCGGAGGAAAAGAAACCAACAGGGAUUGCCUCAGUAACGGCGAGUGAAGCGGCAACAGCUCAAAUUUGAAAUCUGGCUCUUUCAGGGUCCGAGUUGUAAUUUGUAGAAGAUGCUUCGGGUGUGGCUCCGGUCUAAGUUCCUUGGAACAGGACGUCAUAGAGGGUGAGAAUCCCGUAUGUGACUGGUUGCCUUUCGCCCAUGUGAAGCUCUUUCGACGAGUCGAGUUGUUUGGGAAUGCAGCUCAAAAUGGGUGGUAUAUUUCAUCUAAAGCUAAAUAUUGGCCAGAGACCGAUAGCGCACAAGUAGAGUGAUCGAAAGAUGAAAAGCACUUUGGAAAGAGAGUUAAACAGUACGUGAAAUUGUUGAAAGGGAAGCGCUUGCAAUCAGACUUGCACGUUUUCGAUCAUCCGAUGUUCUCACCGGUGCACUCGAUUUCGUUCAGGCCAGCAUCGGUUUUGGUGGUUAGAUAAAGACUUUAGGAAUGUGGCUCUUUCGGGAGUGUUAUAGCCUAAGGUGUAAUGUAGCCUACCGGGACCGAGGACCGCGCUUCGGCUAGGAUGCUGGCGUAAUGGUUGUAAGCGACCCGUCUUGAAACACGGCCC